rnacentral:rRNA from 1 species
GGACCCGCACAAGCGGUGGAGUAUGUGGUUUAAUUCGAUGCAACGCGCAGAACCUUACCAACCCUUGACAUCCUGUGCUACUACCAGAGAUGGUACGUUCCCUUCGGGGACGCAGUGACAGGUGCUGCAUGGCUGUCGUCAGCUCGUGUCGUGAGAUGUUCGGUUAAGUCCGGCAACGAGCGCAACCCACAUCUUUAGUUGCCAGCAGUUCGGCUGGGCACUCUAUGGAAACUGCCCGUGAUAAGCGGGAGGAAGGUGUGGAUGACGUCAAGUCCUCAUGGCCCUUACGGGUUGGGCUACACACGUGCUACAAUGGUAGUGACAAUGGGU